rnacentral:siRNA from 1 species
CUAGAUGAAUUGUGGAUUGCC